rnacentral:rRNA from 1 species
GAUGAACGCUGGCGGCGUGCCUAACACAUGCAAGUCGAGCGGGGUCUAGGAAACGCUUGCGUUUCCUAGACUUAGCGGCGGACGGGUGAAUAACGCGUGGGUAACCUGCCUUACACACAGGGAUAACAAUGAGAAAUCAUUGCUAAAACCUGAUAAGCUCACGCUGGGGCAUCCCAAAGUGAGAAAAUAUUUAUAGGUGUAAGAGGGGCCCGCGGCUGAUUAGCUAGUUGGAAGGGUAACGGCCUACCAAGGCGCCGAUCAGUAGCCGCCCUGAGAGGGUGACCGGCCACAUUGGGACUGAGACACGGCCCAAACUCCUCCGGGAGGCAGCAGUGGGGAAUAUUGCACAAUGGGCGCAAGCCUGAUGCAGCAACGCCGCGUGAAGGAUGAAGGGUUUCGGCUCGUAAACUUCUUUAGGCAGGGAAGAAAACAAUGACGGUACCUGCAGAAUAAGCCCCGGCUAACUACGUGCCAGCCGCCGCCGUAACAC